rnacentral:lncRNA from 1 species
GUUUCGGUGUGGUGAGUGAAAUGGAGAAGGCUAAACUUUUUCUUCCCACAUGCUCACUUCCUUGCUUGUUCGCUAGCUGCUGCAUCUGGCCCCUCAAGGGUAAAGUCAAGGGGAAAAGGAGAUUGAGAGGAAGGACAGUCUGUGAAUUGGGUCUCACCGUGUUUCCCAGGCUGAAGUACAGUGUUGUGAUAUCAGUUCAUUGCAACUUCUGUCUUCUGAGCUCAAGCAAUCCUCUUGCCUCAGCCUCUCAAGUAGCUGGGACUGACUACAGGCAUGAACCACCACACCUGGCUAAUUUUUUUUGUAUUUUUGUCGAAAAGACAGUUUCGCCAUGUUGUACAGAACUACUUCUCAAAUCACUAUUCACAUCCUGGUAGAAGUCAAGCAAUGAAGAUGGCACAGAAACACAUCCCAAAUACUAUGAUACCAUAAAGUAUACUGUAGCAAUGCAUUGGCACACCCUCAUUUGAACAUUUGUCUCAGAAGAUUUUGACAGAAGAUAAAAUUGUCUGGUUUUUAUUUCAUUGGUUUCAUGAAAAUUUAUUUCACUGGUUUCAUGUCACAGGCCCAUGACUGUAUAAAGAGUCAUAAUCUUUACAAACACAACAAUGACUCACAGCGACAUGUUGCAAAGCUGUAAUCGAAAACACUGAUGUUGAUUUCAGAGGCCAUUAAUGGUGUUAAGAAGGCGCUUUUGUUAACCAAAUAAUUGAAUACUCGUAAUUACUUUUCAGUUCUAGUUCAGUUCUUGACACCAAAACAAGCCAUUUUCUUUACAUAGUGAAUGCAGAACUUGCCAGUAAGAACUUUCAUACUAAACUUCUAUGUAAAACAAAACAUGUCAAAAUCAGUAACUACUUUAAUGGAAUGGUAAAGAAUUUACUUAAACACAAAGGAAUGAAAAUAUCUCUGCAAAUAUGUCUAUUGACUUUUCAAAUUUGGUGACUUCUUUCGAAUUAAUUCCCUUACGUCUGUUCCUCAUCCACAUAAAAAUGACAAAAAUGAAAGAUAAUUUUCCAGCCUAUAAUUAAAUUUCUCCAUUGUUGGU